UGGGAGGAGGGCGCGUAUGCGCUAGGCCUCGCGAGCCGGUCGGCUGCUGAGGCUGAGGGGAGGAGCUGAAGACAGCGGCUUCGGCUCCCGCCCGCACUGAGCUUUCGUCCAGCGAAUCCCCCUCCCACUCCCGGGCGGGCGGCGGCGGCGGCGGGAGGAGGAGAAAGAGGAGGGAGCGUCUCUGCCGCCGCCUCCUGGUCCCCAGCGCCGAUCCGCCGCCGCCACCUCCCUCUGUGGUGAUCCUCCCUCCAUGGUCCUGCCGCGGCCCCCCCUGUAGCCCAAGCUGCCCCGCGCCGCUCCGGAGCCGGCCUCGGGCAGAGGGAGCGGUCGCGGCCUCGCGGCCCGCGCGGGCUGACGAGCAGAGAGCGCGGCGCCGCGCGGUCCCCGAGGGUCCGCACGCCGGGCAGCGCGGCCCGAGCAGCGAGAGGAGCAGCGGGCGGGCGGGCGGCGCAGGGCCCGGGCCGCCCUCGCUCCCACGCCCCGGCCCCGCCGCCCGCGCCGGGGCGGUCGCCCGCAGAGGAAGGCGCUGCAGUCUCCGGGCCUCGCGGCCCCACUCAAGCGUCCUCAGCACCGAGGGCUCGCGGGUCCUGAAGGGAGGAGGCGAGCCCGGGGCCGGGCACUGAGCUCUUGGGCGCCCCCAUCCCCGUUUUCGGAGCCCUCCACGCUGCGGCCGCUGUCCUCUCCGGACCAUGGCCGACGACGACGUGCUGUUCGAGGAUGUGUACGAGCUGUGCGAGGUGAUCGGCAAGUGAGUC
rnacentral:lncRNA from 1 species